rnacentral:tRNA from 1 species
GCCGAGGUAGCUCAGCCUGGUAGAGCACCUGACUGAAAAUCAGGGAGUCGGCGGUCCAAAUCCGCCCCUCGGCACCU